rnacentral:lncRNA from 10 species
CGCAUUGCACGCCGGGAGACAAAAUGUCUCAAGAAGCCUUGAGAGGCGGGAUUUUGGAACCCGGGCGCUGACGAGCUUCCGCCAUUGGUGUGAUCGCGGACCUAGAAACUUGGUCCGUCCCAUACAGGUGUAGAAGUCGGAUUUGGAGAAUGCUGACGGGUGUCCGGUCAAGGUUAGGCCCCAGGCACUAUGCUGAAUUUGCAAAGAUGAAGGAAACUAAACUACUGUUUUUGGGAAACUUUAUCUCCUAAUGGACAAACAAGGCUUAAGGGUCCAACUAAACAUUGCAGUGGCUCAUCACAGAGCUGGAAGGAGCCUAUAUAUAGAACUAGAGGCACAGUGGGUGGCCCUGAAUACCUUACAGGAAGCAGACUGAUUUUCUCAUCCAAAAGGCAUGCUACAUGAUGCAGAACAGUCAGUGGGGCCCCUGCAGUCAGGCCUCUCCCAUGGAAUCCCUGAUCUGCACAAUCAGUAAGGAACAGGAAGACUUCUGGGAUUCAGAUAGUGACCCCAUGUUGCCCAUUCCCUAGAUAAUGGGGACUUCAAGACAAAGCUCUAGAAAAAUGAAAGGAAAAAGCAAAAAGUAUCUAAGUCCUUAGCUGCUCCAAAAAAAAGGCCUGCAGCUGCAGGCUGUUGACCACUAAUCCCUGGAAAUGCAUCAAGUAGACUGAAGCUAGGUCUGAGAAGAAAUCAAGGCAGGUGUAUACGGCCUACUGCAUCUCUUUUCCCAAAUUACGUUCAAGAAAUACAGAAGUUCUCAGAUAUUGCUCUUUCCUCAUUUUCCUCCUACCUCUUAGCUGUUCUUCCUAUGGCCCUUGCACACUGAGUUGCCUGUUGCUCUGUCCAAGUCCUGCUAAUUCCAUGUUCUUUUUUUUUUUGAGACGGAGUCUCACUUCGUCACCAGGCUGGAGUGCAGUGGCACGAUCCUGGCUCACUGCAACCUCUGCCUCCUGGAUUCAAGUGAUUCUUCUGGCUCAGCCUCCUGAGUAGCUGGGAUUACAGGCGUGCGCCAACACGCCCAGCUAAUUUUGUAUAUUUAGUAGAGACGGGGUUUCACCGUGUUAGCCAGGCUGAUCUCGAACUCCCAACCUCAGGUGAUCUGCCCGCCUCGGUCUCCCAAAGUGCUGGGAUUACAGGUAUGAGCCACCAUGCCCAGCCCUAAUUCCACUUUCUAUUAAUAUUUCUGAAGUCUGUGUAUUUUCACCUUUACUUAAUGCAAUGCUUUAAAAUGGUCGAGGUAUAUUCCCUACCUAGAAGAACUCAUACUUAUACACAGUGGGACACAUACACGGACUUACAUACCACAUAAAAUUCAUUGACAGAACACAGGAAUAAACCAAUGGUUGAUUUAUAAAAUGUAAUAUUUUGUACCAAAGGUUUUCAAACUUCUUGGUCUUGGGAUUCCUUUACACGCUUAUUAUAUUGAUCUUAUCAGAAAUUAAAACAAUUUUUUUUGGAAAAUUUAAGUCAUUUAGAAAGGAUAAACUUACUACAUGUUAACAUUUUUAUGGAAAAUAACUAUAUUUUCUAAAUAAAAAAUAAUUUAGUGAAAAGAAUGGCAUUGUUUUACAUUUUAAAAAUGUCAGAUCUACUUUUGCUUAUACAGAAUCUUUAGUCACAAUCAGUCCAUUCCACCUUUGAACUGAAAAUGGUAUUAAUAGCGUGCAAAAAUGUAAGGGGGCCUCUCCCUCUCCCUCUCCCUCUCCGUCUCCCUCUCCCUCUCCCUCUCCCUCUCCCUCUCACUCUCCCCACGGUCUCCCUCUCAUGCGGAGCCGAAGCUGGACUGUACUGCUGCCAUCUCGGCUCACUGCAACCUCCCUGCCUGAUUCUCCUGCCUCAGCCUGCCGAGUGCCUGCGAUUGCAGGCACGCGCCGCCACACCUGACUGGUCUUGGUGGAGACGGGGUUUCGCUGUGUUGGCCGGGCCGGUCUCCAGCCCCUGACCGCGAGUGAUCCGCCAGCCUUGGCCUCCCGAGGUGCCAGGAUUGCAGACGGAGUCUCGUUCACUCAGUGCUCAAUGGUGCCCAGACUGGAGUGCAGUGGCGUGAUCUCGGCUCGCUACGGCCUACACCUCCCAGCCGCCUGCCUUGGCCUCCCACGGUGCCGAGAUUGCAGCCUCUGCCCGGCCGCCACCCCGUCUGGGAAGUGAGGAGCGUCUCUGCCUGGCUGCCCAUCGUCUGGGAUGUGAGGAGCCUCUCUGCCUGGCUGCCCAGUCUGGAAAGUGAGGAGCGUCUGCGCCCGGCCGCCAUCCCAUCUAGGAAGUGAGGAGCGCCUCUUCCCAGCCGCCAUCACAUCUAGGAAGUGAGGAGCGUCUCUGCCCGGCCGCCCAUCGUCUGAGAUGUGGGGAGCGCCUCUGCCCCGCCGCCCCAUCUGGGAUGUGAGGAGUGCCUCUGCCCGGCCGAGACCCCGUCUGGGAGGUGA